rnacentral:rRNA from 1 species
ACACAUGCAAGUCGAGCGGUAGCACAGAGAGCUUGCUCUCGGGUGACGAGCGGCGGACGGGUGAGUAAUGUCUGGGAAACUGCCUGAUGGAGGGGGAUAACUACUGGAAACGGUAGCUAAUACCGCAUAAYGUCGCAAGACCAAAGUGGGGGACCUUCGGGCCUCAUGCCAUCAGAUGUGCCCAGAUGGGAUUAGCUAGUAGGUGGGGUAACGGCUCACCUAGGCGACGAUCCCUAGCUGGUCUGAGAGGAUGACCAGCCACACUGGAACUGAGACACGGUCCAGACUCCUACGGGAGGCAGCAGUGGGGAAUAUUGCACAAUGGGCGCAAGCCUGAUGCAGCCAUGCCGCGUGUGUGAAGAAGGCCUUCGGGUUGUAAAGCACUUUCAGCGGGGAGGAAGGCGUUAAGGUUAAUAACCUUGUCGAUUGACGUUACCCGCAGAAGAAGCACCGGCUAACUCCGUGCCAGCAGCCGCGGUAAUACGGAGGGUGCAAGCGUUAAUCGGAAUUACUGGGCGUAAAGCGCACGCAGGCGGUCUGUCAAGUCGGAUGUGAAAUCCCCGGGCUCAACCUGGGAACUGCAUUCGAAACUGGCAGGCUAGAGUCUUGUAGAGGGGGGUAGAAUUCCAGGUGUAGCGGUGAAAUGCGUAGAGAUCUGGAGGAAUACCGGUGGCGAAGGCGGCCCCCUGGACAAAGACUGACGCUCAGGUGCGAAAGCGUGGGGAGCAAACAGGAUUAGAUACCCUGGUAGUCCACGCCGUAAACGAUGUCGAUUUGGAGGUUGUGCCCUUGAGGCGUGGCUUCCGGAGCUAACGCGUUAAAUCGACCGCCUGGGGAGUACGGCCGCAAGGUUAAAACUCAAAUGAAUUGACGGGGGCCCGCACAAGCGGUGGAGCAUGUGGUUUAAUUCGAUGCAACGCGAAGAACCUUACCUGGUCUUGACAUCCACAGAACUUUCCAGAGAUGGAUUGGUGCCUUCGGGAACUGUGAGACAGGUGCUGCAUGGCUGUCGUCAGCUCGUGUUGUGAAAUGUUGGGUUAAGUCCCGCAACGAGCGCAACCCUUAUCCUUUGUUGCCAGCGGUUAGGCCGGGAACUCAAAGGAGACUGCCAGUGAUAAACUGGAGGAAGGUGGGGAUGACGUCAAGUCAUCAUGGCCCUUACGACCAGGGCUACACACGUGCUACAAUGGCAUAUACAAAGAGAAGCGACCUCGCGAGAGCAAGCGGACCUCAUAAAGUAUGUCGUAGUCCGGAUUGGAGUCUGCAACUCGACUCCAUGAAGUCGGAAUCGCUAGUAAUCGUAGAUCAGAAUGCUACGGUGAAUACGUUCCCGGGCCUUGUACACACCGCCCGUCACACCAUGGGAGUGGGUUGCAAAAGAAGUAGGUAGCUUAACCUUCGGGAGGGCGCU